AUGUAAGAUGUGUGACAUCUUAUCCUGUGGCAUGCUGAGCACCGACAGCCUCUGAAGCCCACACUCAACCAGGACACACAUGCUCCCUGCUCUUGGGGUUGACCUGGGGUUUAUGGAGUCAGUGUGCUUGCUCACAAACCUCUUUAUGCCAAUUGCACUGGUUAUCAGAAUUAUGUAAUUUAAUGAAAUAGUACCAAAUAUUUCAUAAACUAAUUAAAUAUGACUACAUAAAGGUCACUGCUUCUUUGAAAGUUCACUAUUUUGGAAAAGACUCAAAAUUAGUCACUACAGAAGCAUUUCUGUCAAUGUAAAUGUGUUAUGAUAACUAUAAAAGGCGAGGGGGAAUAUUAUAAAAUCUAAGAGGAUUCUACUCUUCAUAAGCAUCUUCAGCUCCGCUGGACUUCAAAGAAACUAGACUGGAAAUCAGACCUUGUUAUUGGAGUGAGUUGUAAAAGAAAGUCUACAUGGAAUUCCAAUGGGUAGAUCCUUAUUCAGAGAACUAUUUGUGCCUCAUCACAGGUAGACCGGCAUGUUUUGCCACAAUAGCUGCGAGUUCAAAAUGUUGUAAGGUCUUGUUUAUGUUUAUGUAUUUUUUUAUGUAUUGUUUUCAAAAGGAUUUUCUGCUUUAAUCAGCUUUUACCAUUAAUUGCCUUAGGCCUGAUUAUGUCAGAUGAGAGGAUUUGGCCGUAUAAACUAACAGCAACACCUAAAAAAGGAAAAGUUUUUCCUUUGUAUUAAAAGCCUUUUUUAAAAUUCCAUUUCCUACUAUUAGCAAGAUCUGGAAUAGGUUUAUUAGCACUAAAUAUUAUACUUUGGUUAUGUAUAGAAAAUGGAAUGUGUGCAAUCAUGUUGAUGAAGUACCUUCCCCUAUUGUGACAUAUUCUUUCCCUUUCCAAAUGGCAGUGUUAGAUGAGAUUUCUUAUGGAUAAAGAAAACAAUACCCGGAACAAUUUUGAGUCAAAAUGACAAUCGGAAAUAUGACAAGGAGAAAAUAAACCUUUUUCACAUCUGU
rnacentral:lncRNA from 10 species